rnacentral:rRNA from 1 species
GAUGAGCUCGCGUCUGAUUAGCUAGUUGGUGUGGUAAGAGCGCACCAAGGCGUCGAUCAGUAGCUGGUUUGAGAGGAUGAUCAGCCACACUGGGACUGAGACACGGCCCAGACUCCUACGGGAGGCAGCAGUGGGGAAUUUUCCGCAAUGGGCGAAAGCCUGACGGAGCAAUACCGCGUGAGGGAGGAAGGCUCUUGGGUUGUAAACCUCUUUUCUCAGGGAAUAAGAAAGUGAAGGUACCUGAGGAAUAAGCAUCGGCUAACUCCGUGCCAGCAGCCGCGGUAAUACGGAGGAUGCAAGCGUUAUCCGGAAUGAUUGGGCGUAAAGCGUCCGCAGGUGGCGAUGUAAGUCUGCUGUUAAAGAGCAAAGCUUAACUUUGUAAAAGCAGUGGAAACUACAUAGCUAGAGUACGUUCGGGGCAGAGGGAAUUCCUGGUG